CUGGUGGCAAGUGGCAUCGUGGCAGCUGCACGCUUGACUUUUCUCAGUUCAUGGGCAGUUAUUUUGCGCCUUGGUUUUUCCACACGCUUCUUGCGACCCUGUUGACUAUUUUGAAUGAAACGCUUGAUUGUUCGAUCACGCUUCAGAAGCUUUGCAAUUUUAAGAGUGCUGCAUCCCUCUGCAAGAUAUCUCACUAUUUUUGACUUUUCUGAGCCUG